UCAUGUUUCUCUUCUCUCGAUUCCCCAAGCCGAAGCCAGCCGCCGCCGACUCCCCAACCCCGACCUCCACUCCACCGCCAGCGGCCUCUCCCCCUCUCUCCCUGGACGCAUAUCCACUCGAGCAGCACAGCCCACAGUCAGAUCCGCCCCUCCGUCCUCGCGCCAGAAACCCUAGCCGUCUGGCCAUGGCGACCGACCGCAGGCACAUGCCUCGACGAUGGUGGGGCCACGGAGCGGAGCUUCCUCUGCCCGAGACGCUGCUCAUGUGCUCAUCAAGGUCCGCUGCUCCUUCCUCCAGUCCCAGUCCCAGGAUAAGCAGCAGCAACAUUAAGGUACGGCCCUCUCUCUUGAUUUCCUCUUAUUCCCUCCCUUUCCUUUCCCUAAGGCAUGGGAUUUGCUUUCCUUGGUAGGUGCACGCAUCUCCUCCUCCUUGCCAUUUGUUGUGUUGCUCCAUGAGCAGAUAACUUUCUAUAGUAGAGAUCUAAUAAGCUUCUGUUGAUUUUUUCAGCGGAAAAAAGUUACAUUUUCUUGACCAUAUCUAUCCUUUAGUGAACUUUGUAACAGGCUAUUCAAGCAGGAGUAUGUGUAGACAUAUUUGUUGUAACUGAUGAAUACACCAAUUUGGCUUCGUCGAAGUUUUAAAGUAUUGAAAGUGGUGGUUCAUUAUUUGUCUAUGCAAACUCGGAUGAUUCAACACUUCACCAGGACAUGUGAGCUUGAUCUUAUGAUUGUCCUCUGUAUUUUAUUUCUGAAAUUCCCCUGCGUAGGUUCCUGAUAAGAUGUCAAAUUCCACCGCCUAGGUUCUUGAUAAGAUGUGAAUGGUCUUCUCCUUGUUGCCUUGCCUUUUCUUAUGAACAGGUAUCGCAUGUUGAGUUGAUCCUAUGCAUUUGGUUGUGUUCUCAGGCUGAGAACAUCACAAGAUUUUGAUCCGGGCCACUCUGUAAGCCUUCAAGCUACCCGUAUUCACAUUAUCUGUAGGAUCAAAUCCCAUGUCUGUCACAGUAAAAGUGUUUAACCCACCUUGGGUGCCACUGACCUGUUAGGUUUGGACCCACAUGCCAUUGGUGCAAUAGUGGCAUAACUGUUAUGAAAAAUUGCAGUGACAGAUAAGGAUUUAACACUUAACCAUACCAUCUAAUUUUAAUGUAUCCAUCUUUUUGCAGUAUGGCCAUUUCUUCCCUGAUCCUCAAUAUGAAAAUGUGCAACAUAUUAACUGCUGUGAUUCAAUUCAGAUUAUCAUAGGUAAUUCGCAUAAUGGAUUGUCAUAAAUAAUUUGCAUCAUGUUGUACCAACAGACAAAGGGAGUGCAUGGUUCUACUAGCUUAUUUGUGUUCGAGCCUCCAACAGGCUUUGCAUGCCCCAAGAUUUGAAGCGUGACUUACUUUUUUGUGUCGACUGAAUUCUUUUGUUACAAUCAUCAGUGGAGAUUUCUAAAAAAAAUAUGUGGAUUGGUAAGACUAAGUUCGACUAUCGUAUUUAAUGGGUCAUAAUUUCUUAUUCCCAAAGCAGAUGUUAAACUAAAAUACAUGAGUUCAUGGGGGAGCACGUCAACAAGGCUGCUGCAUGAGUUCAUGUCGUCGGCAGUGGCUCACACGUCAACAAGGCCGAUGAAAUCAGGGGGGGCACGAGUGGGUCCGAGGACGAGCACACUUGAUGCUUCUUUAAUUCACUACAGCAAAAUACUACUUCUUGGUGGCGUAUGGAUGUCGCACUGUAUGGAUCUUGAUCUGUAGUUGGAUAGUUCCUGACCUCAUUCCAGGAGGCUGGUUGGAGCCUGCCAACUGCAAUGAAGUCCUCCAUAGACAAGGGUUUGCAGAAAAUGAUCUUGGCAUCCCAGAUAAGCAGGUCGGGGUCAAAGCCAGUGCCGAGGGGGAUUUCAAUGGAUUACCAACACGAGAAACUGAAAUGGCAGGACCAGAAAAGAUGGUCCCAGAUCUAACUGCAGCCGGAUGUGCAAGAACACAUCAAUGAUCAUCUGUGAGACUCACACUGAAAUUUUGUCGAUGGAGCAUUAUUUCUGCUAUUUAGCUUCUAGAGUACAAUGACUUGUACGUACAACUAUAACAGCUAGCAGCAUGGUUUAUCCCCUUCUGGUUCUACUAUUUCUCUAGAGUGAUGGCAUAGGAAGAGCAUGUGUAUAUGUUGAGGUUAGUCUUCCGAAACUAAUGCUGCAGAUGUUCUUUCUAGACCCAGCAUGUGUAUUUAUUUUAUUUUUACUUCUUUGUGACGUUUGUUGGUUUGGCAUGUGGAUAAGAAUUAUUUUUUUGUUUAUGAAUUCUUUCAUGUAACACCCCGGAUGUAACUUUCCAUAUUUGUA